rnacentral:rRNA from 1 species
CUCCUACGGGAGACAGCAGUGGGGAAUAUUGGACAAUGGGCGCAAGCCUGAUCCAGCCAUGCCGCGUGGAUGAUGAAGGCCCUAGGGUUGUAAAGUCCUUUCGACGGGGAAGAUAAUGACGGUACCCGUAGAAGAAGCCCCGGCUAACUUCGUGCCAGCAGCCGCGGUAAUAC